UAAAAAAAUAUUAGAAGUGAAAAGUUACAGCGCUAAAAGUGAAAUUUUUCCCCUCCCAAUCUAUCAAAACCCCAAUUGUACGAUUCUUGAAAAGUUGAAACAAAUUUUGUCUUGUGUAUCUUCUCCCAAACCCUAACCCUUUCUUCCUUCUCUUUCUUCUCAAACCCUUCAACUUGCAUACAGAGGGACGAUUUAGGGUUUUAUGGAAAGGUUUGAAGUAAGUCUCUCGCCGAUGGAAAAGCUAAACAUUCCGGUACAUGCUCAUUUUUGCAUAUCUAUUUUCUCUUGGAUCCUUCAUUCUUCGUCUUUGUCAUGAUGAAAAGGACAUGGAUGAACUUGUUAGAAGCUUCCAAAAUGAGAUUAAGAAGUACUACAUUCAAAUGCAAACAACUAAGAGAAGACAAGCACCUCAUCCUUCACAGUUGAAGAUGAUAGAAUUAUUAUCGACAAAACAUUAGCUGAUCAAGUGUCAUCAUGGAAAAGCAGCAGGAGCCUCUGAUUGAUCAUGCUUGUUCUAGGAAGGCAUGCUCAUACUACCAAAUUGGAGAUGUAUUUAUUUGUCAGAAGAUCGGACAAGCUCAUGGUGUGAAAUAUCAUUUAUAUGCUUUAAUUUGAUUACAAUUUUCAACGUUGAAUUUUAAAUCCUUUGGUCUGGCAUAAGUCUUUAAUGUUGCUCAUGCAUCUCGUUUGCCUCUUGAUCAUUCUACUUUUAAAACUAUAGUUCUUACAGUUGCGCAUGCAUCUCAAUAAGACGGUGCGGCGCUUCUGUUAGAUUUUAACAGCACAAGCUUAUUUGCUGCGAUACAAUUGGGCUGAUGAAUAAGAUCUUGAAGAUUCCAAGUGACUAAAAUGGUACAGAUUCUUGUGUUUCCAAAAGGCCGAUUCGAUGGGAACUUUUUUCUUUCUUGAAUGCAGCAUCUGCAGAAACAGGAAACUUCAACGAAUUGAAUUGAGAUUACAAUACUGUGCAGAUUAGGCGCAAGCAAUGGUUGAUGCAGUCUGUUUAGUCACAACAUUAUCAACCGUUGGAUUCAACAUGGCUGAAUUUAGUGAAUGGUAAAGCCUAUUUUUUUAGUUUGACUUUUUGAGGUAAGCAUUUAUAAAUUUAUAAUUAUAAUAGUAAUCUAUUCACCGCUUGUGGUAAAAUGUGGUUAAUAAUCUAUACUUUUUACUUAAAUUUUUUUAUUUCUAUUACCACUCGAAAUGUAAUCUCUUUGGUCUGCUUCAUGUUGGUAUGAGGAAUACUAGAGUUAUCUCCUUCUGCUAGUGGAAUAUGUGUAUUCUAUGAAGAGUCUAUGCUGAAUUACAAGUUUUCACAUUCAGGCCUAAUUUCUCAUUCAAGUUUAAACUAUACGAAAUUUCUCAUUCUUCCUUUACUAUAUGGGACGCAUCCUUAAAAUUUUAGAAACGCCCCAGAGUGAAUUUAGAGAUGCAUCUCCAAACGUAUCAUUCAUGAAUUAGGAACAAAUUGUAAACACUAUUUGAUUUUUUUUUUUUAAAUUUUUAGUUGUAUUUUCAGAUUUUAUAAUUUUAUUUUAAUCGUUUUUCUAUUUUUCAAUUGUUUUUCUCAAUAGAGAAAUUGUUGGUAUUUACAUAUUUGUUGUAUUGUUGAUGCAUGGCU